GGAUGUGAGGGUGAUCUGUCGUCUGGCUACAACAUCUAUCACCCCAUUGAUCACCAGUGUUGAUUCGGCUGAUCUGGCUGGCUAGACGGGUGUCCCCUUCCUCUCUCACUGCUCCAUGUGCGUCCCUCCUGAAGGUGCGGUUGAAGAGGACGACCAUCCCCGACAGAGGAGGAUCGGUCUUCGGUCAAGGGUAUAUGAGUAGCUGCGCUCCCCUGCCAGAACCUCCAAAUAAGCUCUCAAGGUCUAUCUAUAAUUCCAGCUACUCAGGAGGAAAAUUUGAGAAGAUUAUAGUUCCAGCCUGGUCUGAGUACAUCAGUAAAAAAAUCUA
ensembl:misc_RNA 7SK 7SK RNA